rnacentral:rRNA from 1 species
GAUGAACGCUGGCGGCAGGCUUAACGCAUGCAAGUCGAGGGGUAGAGUUAGCUUGCUAACUUGAGACCGGCGCACGGGUGCGUAACGCGUAUGCAAUCUACCUUUUACAGAGGGAUAGCCCAGAGAAAUUUGGAUUAAUACCUCAUAGUAUCUUUGCCUGGCAUCAGGUGAUUAUUAAAGUUCCAACGGUAAAAGAUGAGCAUGCGUCCUAUUAGCUAGAUGGUAAGGUAACGGCUUACCAUGGCAACGAUAGGUAGGGGUCCUGAGAGGGAGAUCCCCCACACUGGUACUGAGACACGGACCAGACUCCUACGGGAGGCAGCAGUGAGGAAUAUUGGACAAUGGGCGCAAGCCUGAUCCAGCCAUGCCGCGUGCAGGAAGAAGCAUCUAUGGUGUGUAACUGCUUUUGUACAGGAAGAAACACUCCCUCGUGAGGGAGCUUGACGGUACUGUAAGAAUAAGGAUCGGCUAACUCCGUGCCAGCCGCCGCCGUAAAAC